UAUCCGAGGGACGAAAGGGUGGACAAGGCUGUCAGAAGCGCCGAACAACCUGGACCAGACUGGCAGACACAUGACGUCAGAGUAAUUGGAUCAUGCGGUAUUAUAUUAAUAUUGUAUUAAUUGGCCGUUUUAAACGGAUAUAAAAAAUCACUUUGUUAUAUAUGUUGGGGGAAACAACAUUUUAAUCACAUUGUUCUGUUUAUAAUUCUGUACUUUUUCAUUGUGUUUAUGUGACUUAAUUUUUAGAUAAUUACUUGGUGGAAAUAUAUGUUUUGCGACACAUCAGAUCUCCAGUCAGAAGAGGAGGCAUUUCCUAAAAAGAGGAAGCCAAUGCCGGUCCAUUUCUAUGGAGACUCGGAUGAAGACAGUGAAAAUGAAAAUUCCCCCCACAAAACAGGGGUCCAACCACUAGCGGGACAGUUGUCCCUCCAAUCAUUGCCUCCUCCUAACUAUUCCAUGUACUCCAUCACCAGCAGGACAGCGAACACGCCAGGGGGACACGCCCACCUGGCGAGGGGCGUGUGGUUCAGACACCAUUGCCUGCUGUGCUGUUCCAGUUCAAAUCCUAGGCAUGCUGGAGACAAUUACAGAGGUGAGAGACCCGGUUCCGUUUCCGUGUACCACAAUGGAGGAAGUGGACCUUUUUGAGCAACGGCUCAAAGAUCCCGUCAACAUUCUAAUGAGUAGUGAGUUUUUUUGUUUUAAGAAUCUCACGCAAAGCUGAUUAAAAUCUAUUGUAUGUAAUUAACACUAGACAAUACCAUGUUUGAUGGAAAUGUUUUUUCAAACAUUCUGUAAAGUAUCAAAUAUUAAUCGUACUUUUUCGAUCCAUUUUCGAUUUCCUCCCUGGCAACGAUCGGACGACAUGAUGCCAAACGUGGAACAUCCUCUUAUGAAUGGAAAAAAAUUAUUCAGUCAAAUGUCAUCUAAGACUUUGCUCCUGCAUGCCGUCAGAAAGAAUCAUGCCACACAUGCAUCCACUGAUGAACAGAUUCUAAAGCAUGCCAUUAGGUGGUUCAACCUGGCAGCAAACCGGGGUAGCUCCAG